ACACCGCUGAGCUCCGUCCCUCCAUUUGAGCGCGGCAACCAACAGCGCAUGAAUGAGAUUGAGCCAGGAUGCCACGCAAGUUCAUUCCCAAGAACCUCCGGGAGACAGACCGGACCAACCUCGAACUGGCAUUCAACUACAGGAUUGAGCACAACACCAGCAUACGGAGGGCAGCUCGGGAGUUUGGUGUCAAGGUUAUGACUCUGCAGGAUGCCUUCACAAGGAGCAAAGCCAAAUCUGAUGGGCACACCUUUGUAAUUCCCCAAGAAAAUUUUAACAAGAUUUUCAACAAGAAUCAGGAGGAAAUGCUGUGCAAAUAUGCCAUACAUGUGGCAAGACUGUUCUAUGGGAUGACUCGCAAGGAAUUUCGCCGACUUGCAUAUGAGUAUGCUGUGGCUUGCAAGUGCUCCAAUAUCCCUGCAAACUGGCAUGCCACACAACUGGCAAACGAAAAUUGGCUCCAGCGUUUCAUCAGGUUCCCUACUCUUCUUUCAUAUAAUAUCAAGUAGGCAUUUUUGUUUGUUUUAAGCCUUGUAAGCUUUUUAAGGCAAAGAAGAUAAUGUAACCAUAUUUUUUCUCAACUUUUUGUGUAAUAAAGGAAGAUUAAAAUUAAAUCGCAUUCUUUAUUUCAACAUAUUUAUCUUUUUAUGUUGCAAAUCAUUUAAAAUCAACAUUGGGGUCUAUUUUAACGGAAUCUGGUGGCAAAUUACAAAUUUAUUUAAUUGUCUAUUUUUUACAAUUUUUUUGUUUGAGGCCUCAUAUACGUGUACGGAUCGUCCAUACCUGUGGACGAUCCGUACACUUCGAGAUAUUAUUUUUAAAGCUUCAUCUCACCAACUUAUAUUGUGGUGAAAAAACUGUGCUUACGAGAGAAUAUGGUGCAAUGAUUGUACUUUAUAGUGAUCACUUCAAAUUUAGGUUAAUUCACUAAAAAAAAUUUUUGAAUAAAAAAAAAAAAAACUAUGGUUCGUCCAGAACCUACCUUACUACUACUACCCCCACUACUACUACUACUACUACUGCUACUAUUAUAAGUUAAACAGAAUCAGUACACUCACUUCAUCUCCUUUAUUUCAACUUUCUUUACAUUCACUGUAAUACUGAUGCUUCACCGCAUAUCGAGGGCUGCCAAAGAGGGUACGAGAGAGAGAGAGAGAGAGAGAGAGAGAGAG